rnacentral:rRNA from 1 species
GAGACAGCAGUAGCCGCGGUAACACGAAGGGGGCUAGUGUUGCUCGGAAUCACUGGGCGUAAAGGGUGCGUAGGCGGGUCUUUAAGUCAGGGGUGAAAUCCUGGAGCUCAACUCCAGAACUGCCUUUGAUACUGAAGAUCUUGAGUUCGGGAGAGGUGAGUGGAACUGCGAGUGUAGAGGUGAAAUUCGUAGAUAUUCGCAAGAACACCAGUGGCGAAGGCGGCUCACUGGCCCGAUACUGACGCUGAGGCACGAAAGCAUAGGGAGCAAACAGGAUUAGAUACCCCGGUAGUCCCUGUCUCUUAUAC